CCUACGGGAGGCAGCAGUGGGGAAUAUUGCACAAUGGGCGCAAGCCUGAUGCAGCGACGCCGCGUGAGGGAUGACGGCCUUCGGGUUGUAAACCUCUUUCAGUAGGGAAGAAGCGAAAGUGACGGUACCUGCAGAAGAAGCGCCGGCUAACUACGUGCCAGCAGCCGCGGUAAUACGUAGGGCGCAAGCGUUAUCCGGAAUUAUUGGGCGUAAAGAGCUCGUAGGCGGUUUGUCGCGUCUGCUGUGAAAGACCGGGGCUCAACUCCGGUUCUGCAGUGGGUACGGGCAGA
rnacentral:rRNA from 1 species